CUAAGCACAGGAUUGGGAAUUAGCUCCUCACUAAACACGGACUCUCUAAUUUAGUAUUUGCUUUUUUUUAGCUACUCCUAAGUCGAGUUUUGCGUGGCCAAUCUCGCAUGUAGAUAAUUUGCAUUAGCAUAAAGACAAAGACGGAUUAGCGUAUAUUUCAUGCCAUGUAAUAUGAUUAAAGAUGUUGGCAAUUUUAUAAUAUUUCCUCUCCUUCAAGUAUUUCCUUCUUUUUGUGUCGUUAUUUACUAAUUUUCUCCUACUUAACAUUUCCUACAUUGCUUUAAGAACUUCCUAAUGACACUUAAUGUUAUGCUUCAAGUUUGAUUUAAUGAGCGUAGUCAAAAGGUCACGAAUGCUCUGCUUUUAACUCAUUUGGAAAUGUCACUUUGUUAAUUUAAACUGGCAGUUGAAUGAUUACGUGUAAAUAUAAACCCCAUAAUACAAUAGACUUUCCCCCAAACCCAAAACACAUAUAAAAUACUAUAUUGUAUAGCAACCACAAAUAAGCAACUGACAUAAAACAAUGUAAUGGAAACCUGUGCACGUGGCGCAAGUUUAAGUAUAAAUUACCACAAUAAAUAUAAGCUCAGCCGUCGGGCAACAAUAAUGCCAACUACAGUAAAAAACAACAACUAUUAUAAGGAAGCACAGCAACAACAAGAACAACAACUAAAGCAAGAGCUUACGCACAAGCGCCUUUCCUAUAAUGGCCUCAAAACAAAAAGGCAACGGAAACUGUUGUACGACGAAGGCAUUGAGAGGAGAAUGAAAAGCGAAUAACAAAAGCAACAAAAAACAGCUAUAUCAAAAAGUAGAAGAAGAUUUUCACCGUAAGCGUGACGUGUCGAAAUGAGUCUCAACAGAUAUUUGUUUUCAUUACGAGAUGAAAUUGUAAAUGUCGCUGAAGUUUUUUAAUUUUUUGCAAUUUGUCGAAAUGGCGGAGGAUGCAAUUUCCGGGACUCGCUGCACGUUGUUAAAACGCCGCCCAAAGGCUUCAAUUGCAAUUUUCUCGCGCAAUUUCAUGAACAUUACGAAGUAUGAUUCCUGGCCAGCAAAUUGCAUUUUGGCAUGCCUGGUCUGCAGUUACCUUACACGAACUAUGUCCUUUCACAGCUCUCAGCUCCCAACUCCGACUGCGACUUCAAGCUCAUUGCACUUUGUUUUUAUUAGACCGUUCUGGCGUCAUCGGCAUAAUAAGUUUCAGUUUCAAUUGCCCCUUAACGCGCCAGCAAACAAAAGGACAACUGCAGGAGCCCAAACACUGGCAUAGAGUAAGGACUCGUAGGUAAAACAAAUGGCACUUGCUCUUGUAGCAAUGGCAACCAUAAGCAUAACCACUUUCCUCUUUGCAUCUGACUGUAUUCUUUAUUAACCAGCAACAGAGUGUUUCUGAUACCCUCUGCUGGUAAGAAACCUGAAAUGGAAUUGCUUAACUAUUUCAACUGCAUUCGAAUGAACUGAGCACAAAGUAUCUGCAAGUCGGACAUUUCUAGGUUUCAUAACUGAGUUUUUAUUAUUUUUAUUUCACCAGAAUUCUGAGUGCUCUUUCAGCUACAUAGUUUGGUUUGGUUUGGUUGCUGCGCGAGUUUUGGGGCAAAAAAAAUAUAGCAGGAAAAAGGAAAAUAAAUUCUAGAAAUAUUAUUUUUGGGUAACUUUUGUUCUGCUUCGGCGCGCAUUGCUUGUGGGCAGUUUUAAUUUUGUUGCAAACUUUUUCCGUGCGAGGUUU